GUUGAUGUAGCUCAGUUGGUAGAGUGCUUGCCUGGUGUGUAUGAAGCCCUGGGUUUGAUUCCCAUCCUUCAUA
rnacentral:tRNA from 1 species